UACGGGGGGGAGCAAGCGUUGUUCGGAUUUACUGGGCGUAAAGGGCGCGUAGGCGGCCACCGCAAGUCGACUGUGAAAUCUCCGGGCUUAACCCGGAAAGGUCAGCCGAUACUGCGGGGCUAGAGUGCAGAAGGGGCAACUGGAAUUCUCGGUGUAGCGGUGAAAUGCGGUAGAUAUCGGAAGGAACACCAGUGGCGAAAGCGGCUUCCUGGUCCAGCACCGACGUUCAGGCACGAAAGCGUGGGGAGCAAACAGG
rnacentral:rRNA from 1 species